AGCAGACUCUGUAUGACUCUCCAGAUCAGGAACCCAGUGGAGAGGAGGCCCCAGCCUCAACCUGUAGCCCGGUCCCACAGGAGCCCCCGGGGCCCCCAGACACACCGCUGGCCCUCAGCCCCUCCAGGGGCCAACACACUGGGAGAUGGCAGAGUGCACCGGUGCAGCGGUCCAGGUCGUUGUCCCCGGCGAGCAGCGUGGAGUCAGGAAGAGGAGUGGAAAAGAGGAUUCAUGACCUGGAGGAGCUGCUCAGACUGAAGACGGAUGAGAACGAGGAGCUGCGGAGGGCCCAUGAGAAACGCCACGAGCGCCUGCGUCUCGUCCAGACCAACUACAGGACGGUCAAGGACCAGCUCCAAGAGGUGGAGGACGCACAGGGCCUGGGCAGGACCCAGCAGCGGGCAGAGCCGUGGCAGCUCCGCCAGGAGAACAGCGAUGCGGUGUGGAACGAGCUGGCCUACUUCAAACACCUCAACAAGAAGCUCACUACACACAAGUAAGUCCCACUCCUGUCUGUUUCUCUGUCUCUCUCUCUGUCUCUAUACCUCCUCAGUUGGCCUGAUUGCUUGCUGAUAUAGAGUAUUGUCAUUUGCACACACAUUGUUUUACACACACACACGCCCUCACCUCUGUCUGACCUCUCGACCUCUCGACCUCUCCCCCACAGUUUGUCGGUGUUAAACUUUGAGCACGCCCUUCUGAACUUCACAGCGUCCGUCUCCCCUCCUCAUUAUUUCCAGCCAGCAGGUUCCAACACUAGAUCAUUAGCCCCGUCUCUCAUUUGGAAAAUUCCCGGCCCGAAGAUUUUGUUGGUUGGAGAAAAAAAUCUCACAUUAUCGGUGUGCUCUGGCACUGUCUUUGUGAAGCGUCUUCAUU